GGUAGAUCCUAAUGGCUGUGGGAUGGUACAAACUCCCUAAACCUCUGCCUGGCACUGGAGUGAAUCCUGCUGAGCUGUUUCUCAUUUUGUAUUUAAAACAGUUAAAUGACUUCUUCACCUAAACUCUUAAAUAGGGCAGCUAAGAUUUGUACUUAGGAAAGGAAUAGCAUGGAAGAUUGGAGCUCAUGUAGAAUGUAUCUGGAAGCUUAAAUUAAUGAGGACUGUGAAGAUCCUAAUCCUUUGAUUCGAGCCUUGGCAGUCAGAACCAUGGGGUGCAUCCGGGUAGACAAAAUUACAGAAUAUCUCUGUGAGCCGCUCCGCAAGUGCUUGAAGGAUGAGGAUCCCUAUGUUCGGAAAACAGCAGCAGUCUGCGUGGCAAAACUCCAUGAUAUCAAUGCCCAAAUGGUGGAAGAUCAGGGAUUUCUGGAUUCUCUACGGGAUCUCAUAGCAGAUUCAAAUCCAAUGGUGGUGGCUAAUGCCGUAGCGGCAUUAUCUGAAAUCAGUGAGUCUCACCCAAACAGCAACUUACUUGAUCUGAACCCACAGAACAUUAAUAAGCUGCUGACAGCCCUGAAUGAAUGCACUGAAUGGGGCCAGAUUUUCAUCCUGGACUGCCUGUCUAAUUACAACCCUAAAGAUGAUCGGGAGGCUCAGAGCAUCUGUGAGCGGGUAACUCCCCGGCUAUCCCAUGCCAACUCAGCAGUGGUGCUUUCAGCGGUAAAAGUCCUAAUGAAGUUUCUAGAAUUGUUACCUAAG
rnacentral:sRNA from 1 species